rnacentral:lncRNA from 1 species
AGCUGACUAAAUAGUAUGUCUUACAGUAUCUUGAAGAGUGUUCUAAAGAGCUUAGCAUCCACACUGGUGGACUAAAGGAUAUAACUCCUCCUCUGUGUGUGUGUGUGUGUGUGUGUGUGUGUGUGUGUGUGUGUGUGUGUGUGACAUCUGGCCAGUUGCUGGCUGAAUAGAAAGAGGAAUAUAGGUGAAGGUUGAUUCCUAGCUUGAUUUGGGGGAUUGAUCUGUCAGUGACAUUUUUAAUUCUCAGGCUGUCAGGCUGACUAGAUCUCCACUGUGAGCUCUACAGUUUUGAGAUUUCUUACAAACAUAACACUGACUUUACAAGUAGACACACAUAGAGAGCCACAUGUAAGUCAAGGGCUGGAAUGCAGACUGAGGAAACUGUUCCUAGGCAGUUUUGUAGCUUGAGUGUGAAAUACACUAUUGAAAAAAACAUUGUGCAUCAUAUGACUGUGUAUAGAGAACACACAUGCAGAGAGAGACAUAUAUAAUUGCUUCUAUUUCUCUUAUUUCUUUGAAGAACUCUGAAUAAUACUUAGUACUUGAAAUCUAAAAUUCAUAGUUUUCUUUAUGGAUCUGUAAGUCAGAGGCUUUGGAAGGCAAGUUACUUGCUGUAGGUCAUUCUUCAAAGGGAGGCGAAGAUAAACAUGAAGGGAAGGUGAACGUCAUGGAGUAAGUUAACACCGGACUUGUAUAGUUACAUUGGCAGGGCUCGUGUCUUUCAAAGCACUCAAUCUUUACUUCCUGAUUUCUACACAUGUCUAAAUGUUUUCAAAGGGAGUUCUAAGAACUCCAUCUGUGCCUGGUAGUAAACUAGACAAGGCUCAGACCAUUCACUGUAGCAAACAGAAGUCACUGAAACCUGGAGAUUAGAUAUAAAGGAUGUGCACUGUCAUCCACACAGUCCACAGAGUCCUGUGAAGUUUCUAUGUUGCUGGUUAUUGGAUGUUUGCUAUCCUCCAGCACCAUCAGUCACUAUCCUUGGUUCUUGUUUUGAGCCUGAACCUCAUUGAGGACCUGCUAGAAAGGCAGUCUGAGUAGAUCUCUGGUCAUAGAAGAUAACAAGAAAGAUGAGACCCAUGAAGGUAACCUAGAACUCAUGAAGGACUGAAGCCUUUGAGGAUACACUGGAUGUGCACAUGUCUUACCGUCUCCAGCCUUAGUAGCACCAGUAUCCUGCAGAGGAGCUCAAUGGUCUGAAAAUGUACAUGACUUGAGACUUGAAGAACCAUUGGUGGAGACCGAGGAGUUCCAUGUGCAGAUGAUGUCCUAUGCAGCAGGAUGAGCCAGCAGAUGACAGGCAACAUGACACUUGCUCAAUCGCAAGCGAGUGCUUGUCACAAGGAUUCUGGAUGGUGUUUUCUUCUGGAAGAUACAAGGAAACUGAACCAUUCAGCUCCUCCAAGGUUUCAGGCAUCUGCAUGGAAGGCACAGCAAGAGGAGAGACAGUGUCAGUGCAUCCACUGCUCCACCACAGUCUGAUUUCUCAUUAGGAAAAUGAAAGGGCUCCCAGGAAUUCGGAGACCUGCAAAGAAGGAGGUUGAAACAGCUUUCAAAUGACUCAAAAGCGUUUUUAAAAAAAUCUAUUGAGUGAGUUCUCAUGUGAAGUUCAUAGAACACUCACUUCCUAGUUUGAAAAUUGGUAUUUGAGGAGCAAAUUAAGCAUCCAAACUUCGUAAAAUCUUCCUAAAAAUAUAUCUUAAGGAAACCAAAUAGGUCCAAAUGAUGACUGUUUUACUGUAUAGAAGACUCUUAAUUAAGAAUAUGGAAAGCAAAAAAGAAUCAGAAAAGCCCACAUUCUGUAAUUCCUAUUAAAUUUAGCAAUUGAGUUACUAUGUUGAAUUCUAAUUAAAAUGUUUAGCUGUUGGGACCUAAGAAAGUCACUUAGGACCAAAAGUAACCCUGCAGAGAUUGCUUUCUUGUAGCUAUGGGGAAAGAGGGGCUAAGGGUUCAGUGAAAGCUCAGACUGGACCAACAAGCUCAUCA